rnacentral:rRNA from 1 species
AUACGUAGGGUGCGAGCGUUGUCCGGAAUUUCUGGGCGUAAAGAGCUCGUAGGUGGUUUGUCGCGUCGUCUGUGAAAUUCCGGGGCUUAACUCCGGGCGUGCAGGCGAUACGGGCAUAACUUGAGUACUGUAGGGGAGACUGGAAUUCCUGGUGUAGCGGUGAAAUGCGCAGAUAUCAGGAGGAACACCGGUGGCGAAGGCGGGUCUCUGGGUAGUAACUGACGCUGAGGAGCGAAAGCAUGGGUAGCGAACAGGAUUAGAUACCCUGGUAGUCCAUGCCGUAAACGGUGGGCGCUAGGUGUAGGGGUCUUCCACGACUUCUGUGCCGUAGCUAACGCAUUAAGCGCCCCGCCUGGGGAGUACGGCCGCAAGGCUAAAACUCAAAGGAAUUGACGGGG